AUGUAUGUAUGUCUCUCUCUAUUGCUCGCUCGCUCCUUUACAAAACAGCAGUUUAGGACUAGUCACUCAGUCGGCCGUGUGCAUUGCAUUGAUAUAUGGAUCAUGGAUGGAUGGAUGGAUGGAUUGUUUAUAUAUUUAAACUCAAUCAACCAAACAAAACAAAACAAAUUGGUUUAUGUUGUCUCUGUUUGUCUUGCAAUUGGAGACUCGUCGAGUUAUGCAUCUGCUGUGUUGCUCGCCAGCAGGCUGCUGUGUGUGAUUCCCAAUUUCUUGAAAGAAUUGCAGAAUGGCGCGGUGGUGGUGAAAUGUAACCGCUGUUGA
rnacentral:rRNA from 1 species